AUUGAACGCUGGCGGCAGGCCUAACACAUGCAAGUCGAACGAGUGGCGGACGGGUGAGUAAUGUCUGGGAAACUGCCCGAUGGAGGGGGAUAACUACUGGAAACGGUAGCUAAUACCGCAUACCAUCGGAUGUGCCCAGAUGUGAUUAGCUAGUAGGUGGUGUGACGGCUCACCUAGGCGACGAUCCCUAGCUGGUCUGAGAGGAUGACCAGCCACACUGGAACUGAGACACGUUCCAGACUCUGACGUGAGGCAGCAGUGGGGAAUAUUGCACAAUGGGCGCAAGCCUGAUGCAGCCAUGCCGCGUGGAUGAAGAAGGCCUUCGGGUUGUAAAGUACUUUCAGCGAGGAGGCGUUACUCGCAGAAGAAGCACCGGCUAACUCCGUGCCAGCAGCCGCGGUAAUUC
rnacentral:rRNA from 1 species